CGCCUGUGUAUAUUCUAAGCAAUUGAGGCGUGAAACGAAUUAUUUAUGUAAAGCCACUUAUUGUAUCUUAUUCUGUUACGUCUCUACAUGUCAACAUUUCAAGACUACAAAUACAAAGGUGACCUUGGAUAUGCGAAGUUAAAAAAGUAAAAAUAAAUAAAUAAUAAACGAGAAUGGCUUGGAAAAUGAAUGCGUCAGGCUACAGAAAGAGGGUCAAUUAUACCCUUCUAGUAGUUUGGCUGAUAAAACCUCAGGAGUGAUGGCAUCGCAAAAAAGAAAGAGAAAGUGUAAUGAGAGAGGGAGAGAGAGGAGACAGUCAUGAGGGGUAAAGGAAUAAUGCAACUUCAAGGCAAGAGAUACUACCAUUCUAAGUUGGAAUAUUUCCCCAUAAUGGAGGAUGACGUGGAACAAACUAAAGCACAAAACCACCGCGGGGAAUCGAGCCCUAGAUUUCAG